rnacentral:rRNA from 1 species
CCCGAGGGGGUAGUAGGUGAGUGAUGGGGUGACGCAGGAAGGUAGUCCAGCCCGGGCGGUGGUUGUCCCGGGGUAAGGGUGUAGCCCGGAGGGUAGGUAAAUCCGUCCUCCAUAACAGGGUGAGACCUGAUGCCGAGCCGAUUGUGGUGAAGUGGAUGAUCCUAUGCUGUCGAGAAAAGCCUCUAGCGAGUUUCAUGGCGGCCCGUACCCUAAACCGACUCAGGUGGUCAGGUAGAGAAUACCGAGG